AUGGCACCGGAUCAAUACCAUGAGCAAGGUAACAGGAGUGGUCACAACAUCAGCAGCAAAUCCUUUCAAAGAUGUGAGGGCUGCGAUGCACAUUACUAUUGGUGUCAUAUGGAUGAUACCCAGAAGUAUUUCUUUAAGUGCAUGGUUGGCAAUUUCCAAGAUAAAAUGACCAUACCACAGAAGUUUGUGGAGAAUUUCAAAGGUCAGAUCUCUGAAGUUAUCAAGCUAGAAGCACCUGAUGGAAACAUAUUCAACGUUCAGGCUACCAAGGAUCUAAACAAGAUAGUCCUGGGAUCUGGAUGGGGGGUAUUUAUCAGCUUUUACGAAGUAAAAGAGGGCUAUUUCCUGGUCUUUAGGUACAUGGGGGCUUCUCACUUCAAAGUUCUGGUAUUUGAUUUUGCAAGUUGCUGUGAGAAGGAAGUGUUACACGUUCUCAUGAACUACGGUCCUAAUGCCCAAGAAAAAGACAUUCGUCUUGAUCAAUCGCCGCUGAGUGAAAGGCGAUGCCAGAAUGGUGGAUCAAGCAACGGUGGGUCCCAUCGAAGGUGCGAGCACUGCGAUGUGCAUUUCUAUUGGCAUCACAUGGAUGAUAGGCAGAAGCAUUUCUUGAGGCUCAUGUUUGGCGAUUUCCGUCAAGAAAUCAGUAUACCAGAGAAAUUUGUGAACAAUUUCAGAGGCAGGAUAUCUAAAGUUAUGAAGCUAGAAGCUCCUGACGGAAACGUAUACAACAUUCAGGUUAUCAAUGAUCUGAACAAGAUAUUCCUUAGAUCUGGAUGGGCAGCAUUUGCCAGUGCUUAUGAACUAAAAGAGCAUGACUUGCUGGUGUUCAGAUACAUUGGGGACUCUCACUUUAAAGUCCUAAUAUUUGACCCAAGUGGUUGUGAGAAAGAAUUAUUCCACAUUGUCAUGAACCACACUCCUAAUCUACCAGAAACGGGCAUAUCUCAUGAUCAGCCAUUCCUCAAAGAAACAAGGCGUCACUGCGAAUCACGUGAUUAUAACAGUAGGAAAACUAAAAAGAUGACUCCGCUGGACUCUCCUUCACCGAGAUCAGCUGAAGGUGUCAAAUCUCCAGAGGACACCCUGAAUUCAGGUGGCCUUCGGGAAACCACCAAGCCUCGCUAUGUUCUAGCAACGGGGUGCAAUCUGACUACAGCGCAGAAGGCAGAAGUCGACGCGCUUGUGAGGAAAGUUAGGCCUGCUAUUCCGUUUUACAUCAAAGCCAUGAGCAAGACAAGUAUCUCUGGAUCUCUGGUCAUCUGCAAGGAUUACGCUGCCAAAUACCUUCCAGAUGGAGACCAAUUCAUCACACUCUGCCAUCCUCAUAAGAGCAACAUAUGGAUAGACAAUUUGAAGGUUAUCACUGAUGGUUCCCGCAUGCUUUCUGUUGGCUGGUCUUGCUUCGUUCUCCACAACGAGUUGCGGGAAAGUGACAUCUGCCUAUUUGAAGUAUGGAAAAGCGACGGUGACGUGACAAUGGUUGUUCAUUCUCUCGAAGGAGGUCAUCACCUACAAGGGAAAGAGCCCGAAUCUCAGAAAAAGCGUAGAUAUCCAGUUAAGGCCGAGGCCACCGAGGAUGAGGAGAGUGACAAGGAACAUGCUGAGUCCAACUACUACUACUCAAGGCACGCCAAUGGCCUGACCAGCGAUGAGCAAGAGGAUAUAUUCAGGUCAGCGUUGAUCCAACAGGGCAAUCCCGUGUACGUCGCCGUCCUGGGGAAGAAUCACGUUAAAAAGGGGAACAACUUGCUGACCAUCCCUAGAAAGUUUGCAGCAAAGCAUCUCGCGGCGAGGUCACAUGACAUCCUGCUCCUGAGACCCAACAGGGGAAAGAAGUGGUGCGUGAGGUACUACUACCAUUCGAGCUUAAGGGGUUUCAGCAACAGUCCAUGGACCAAGUUCGUCCGCGACAACAAGCUGCAGGAGGGCCACGUCUGCGUCUUCGAGCUGAUCAAAGGGGUGCGUAAGGCGACGAUGAUUGUCCACGUGUUCAGGAAGGUUGAUGGCAGGCUUGUUCUGCUGGACUAA
rnacentral:rRNA from 1 species